CCUACGGGAGGCAGCAGUGGGGAAUAUUGCACAAUGGGGGAAACCCUGAUGCAGCGACGCCGCGUGAGUGAAGAAGUAAUUCGUUAUGUAAAGCUCUAUCAGCAGGGAAGAAAAUGACGGUACCUGAGUAAGAAGCCCCGGCUAACUACGUGCCAGCAGCCGAGGCAACAUGGAGGGGGCAAGCGUUAUCCGGAUUUACUGUGUGUAAAGGGAGCGUAGACGGCAGUGCAAGUCUGUAGUGAAAGGUGGGGGCUCAACCCCCGGACUGCACUUGAUACCGUAAGGCUGGAGUGCAGUAGAGGUAGGUGGAAUUCGUAGUGUAGCGGUGAAAUGCGUAGAUAUUAGGAAGAACACCAGUGGCGAAGGCGGCUUACUGGACUGUAACUGACGUUGAGGCUCGAAAGCGUGGGGAGCAAACAGGAUUAGAUACCCCAGUAGUC
rnacentral:rRNA from 1 species